rnacentral:rRNA from 1 species
AGCGAACGCUGGCGGCAGGCCUAACACAUGCAAGUCGAACGAACCUUUCGGGGUUAGUGGCGGACGGGUGAGUAACACGUGGGAACGUGCCUUUAGGUUCGGAAUAACUCAGGGAAACUUGUGCUAAUACCGAAUGUGCCCUUCGGGGGAAAGAUUUAUCGCCUUUAGAGCGGCCCGCGUCUGAUUAGCUAGUUGGUUGAGGUAAUGGCUCACCAAGGCGACGAUCAGUAGCUGGUCUGAGAGGAUGAUCAGCCACAUUGGGACUGAGACACGGCCGAAACUCCUACGGGAGGCAGCAGUGGGGAAUCUUGCGCAAUGAGCGAAAGCCUGACGCAGCCAUGCCGCGUGAAUGAUGAAGGUCUUAGGAUUGUAAAAUUCUUUCACCGGGGACGAUAAUGACGGUACCCGGAGAAGAAGCCCCGGCUAACUUCGUG